UAAGGAAUAUUGGUCAAUGGGCGCAAGCCUGAACCAGCCAUGCCGCGUGCAGGAUGACUGCCCUAUGGGUUGUAAACUGCUUUUGUACGGGAAGAAACCCUGAUACGUGUAUCAGGUUGACGGUACUGUAAGAAUAAGGACCGGCUAACUUCGUGCCAGCAGCCGCGGUAAUACGAAGGGUCCAAGCGUUAUCCGGAUUUAUUGGGUUUAAAGGGUGCGUAGGCGGCUUGUUAAGUCAGUGGUGAAAGCCCGGAGCUCAACUCCGGAACUGCCAUUGAUACUGGCGAGCUUGAAUAUAGUUGAGGUAGGCGGAAUAUGACAUGUAGCGGUGAAAUGCUUAGAUAUGUCAUAGAACACCGAUUGCGAAGGCAGCUUGCUAAACUAUGAUUGACGCUGAGGCACUAAAGCGUGGGGAUCAAACAG
rnacentral:rRNA from 1 species